UACGGAGGGGGCUAGCGUUGUUCGGAAUUACUGGGCGUAAAGCGCACGUAGGCGGCUUUGCAAGUCCCAUGUGAAAUCCCACGGCUUAACCGUGGAAGUGCAUGGGAAACUGCAGAGCUUGAGUACUUAAGAGGAUCGCGGAAUUCCCGGUGUAGAGGUGAAAUUCGUAGAUAUCGGGAGGAACACCAGUGGCGAAGGCGGCGAUCUGGGAAGAUACUGACGCUGAGGUGCGAAAGCGUGGGGAGCAAACAGG
rnacentral:rRNA from 1 species